GACGAUCAGCUUUUCUUCUGCCACGCCCCUGUGCCAUGCCAUCCUGCCAUGGAGCCAGAUGAACAUGGUCUGAAAUAUGUUGUCUUCAACUUUCUUGCUUCCUAUGCUACAAGGAAUGAACCUGAUCCUUUCUGUCCUGCAGCUCCAGGUCCAGAAACACAUGUGUAAAAUAUUCUUGAAGAAAAGCAGUGUUCUCAUCACAAAAAUGACAACUAUGUGAGCCAGGCAUGGUGGUGCACGCCUGUGAUCCCAGCACUUGGGAGGCUGUGGCAGGAGGGCUGUCAUGAGUUUGAGG